UACGGGGGGAGCAAGCGUUGUUCGGAUUUACUGGGCGUAAAGGGCGCGUAGGUGGCCAGCACAAGUCAGUUGUGAAAUCUCCGAGCUUAACUCGGAAAGGUCAACUGAUACUGUGCGGCUAGAGUGCAGAAGGGGCAACUGGAAUUCUUGGUGUAGCGGUGAAAUGCGUAGAUAUCAAGAGGAACACCUGCGGCGAAGGCGGGUUGCUGGGCUGACACUGACGCUGAUGCGCGAAAGCUAGGGGAGCGAACGGG
rnacentral:rRNA from 1 species